ensembl:lncRNA
CUCAGAGUCUGGUGAUCGACCACAGUUUGAACAGACAACUGUGUUUGAUGUGGAGUUGUCAUAUCGAGCUGUGACAGUGUGACUAAGAAAGAAAAGCUCAGACAGAACUGGGUCAAUCAGAACCCACAAUGGAGGGAGAGGACCCUAGAUUGUUCAGAGCCACACAGAACAUGAAGUGGUUCUCUGGCAGCUAUACAUAUGAUCAACAAUAGUACAGUUGCUCUUUUUACAGAUGGCUUCACAGUUGAUGAAAAGGACACUCAUCAACAAAUACAUUGUGGCAGAGCCCAUCAAAAUAUUCAACAUUGAUGAUCCCCCUUGUUAUUUUGGGGAGUUUAGUUACAUUCAUUAUAGUCAUCAAAUGUUAUGACCAGAAAAUGCCCAAACAUGCAGUUAUGGACCCCAAAGUAAAAGGCUGGUUUCUUCAAGUCAUUAAGGAAACAAUGCAUCCUGUUAUGAGGAUCAUUCUUUGAACCAUGGCAUUUGGUACAGACUUUCCAGAGGCCUACAGAAACAUCCAUGAGGAGUGGGUGGAGGCGCAGACAAGGACAUCGGAUGUUGAGGGGAGAGAGUCUCCGCCAGGAAUUUACGACCUGAGAUAACAGAACCUGGGUGUUGGACAGAGUGGGAAGCUAUGGUCUAUACCCAGAAAUGGCCACAUCAUGACAUCAGUGCUGACUACAAAGAGCCACAUGACUCAGUGGUGCCGAGGAGCUU